GGUUAAGCGACUAAGCGUACACGGUGGAUGCCCUGGCAGUCAGAGGCGAUGAAGGGCGUGCUAAUCUGCGAUAAGCGCCGGUAAGGUGAUAUGAACCGUUAUAACCGGCGAUACCCGAAUGGGGAAACCCAGUGUGACUCGUCACACUAUCAUUAACUGAAUCCAUAGGUUAAUGAGGCGAACCGGGGGAACUGAAACAUCUAAGUACCCCGAGGAAAAGAAAUCAACCGAGAUUCCCCCAGUAGCGGCGAGCGAACGGGGAGGAGCCCAGAGCCUGAAUCAGCAUGUGUGUUAGUGGAAGCGUCUGGAAAGGCGCGCGAUACAGGGUGACAGCCCCGUACACAAAAGCGCAUGUGCUGUGAGCUCGAUGAGUAGGGCGGGACACGUGGUAUCCUGUCUGAAUAUGGGGGGACCAUCCUCCAAGGCUAAAUACUCCUGACUGACCGAUAGUGAACCAGUACCGUGAGGGAAAGGCGAAAAGAACCCCGGCGAGGGGAGUGAAAAAGAACCUGAAACCGUGUACGUACAAGCAGUGGGAGCCCCACCACCAAAGCAUUCUCUGGUGUUGAAGGCCCUGCAAAGCAGCAUCGCGGUGGCGGAGCGUCGUUUGCGACGCCCAACACACAAAACAAGCGGUGAAUGCUUUGGGGUGGGGUGACUGCGUACCUUUUGUAUAAUGGGUCAGCGACUUAUAUUCUGUAGCAAGGUUAACCGUAUAGGGGAGCCGUAGGGAAACCGAGUCUUAACCGGGCGUUAAGUUGCAGGGUAUAGACCCGAAACCCGGUGAUCUAGCCAUGGGCAGGUUGAAGGUUGGGUAACACUAACUGGAGGACCGAACCGACUAAUGUUGAAAAAUUAGCGGAUGACCUGUGGCUGGGGGUGAAAGGCCAAUCAAACCGGGAGAUAGCUGGUUCUCCCCGAAAGCUAUUUAGGUAGCGCCUCGUGAAUUCAUCUCCGGGGGUAGAGCACUGUUUCGGCUAGGGGGCCAUCCCGGCUUACCAACCCGAUGCAAACUGCGAAUACCGGAGAAUGUUAUCACGGGAGACACACGGCGGGUGCUAACGUCCGUCGUGAAGAGGGAAACAACCCAGACCGCCAGCUAAGGUCCCAAAGUCAUGGUUAAGUGGGAAACGAUGUGGGAAGGCCCAGACAGCCAGGAUGUUGGCUUAGAAGCAGCCAUCAUUUAAAGAAAGCGUAAUAGCUCACUGGUCGAGUCGGCCUGCGCGGAAGAUGUAACGGGGCUAAACCAUGCACCGAAGCUGCGGCAGCGACGCUGAUGCGUUGUUGGGUAGGGGAGCGUUCUGUAAGCCUGCGAAGGUGACCUGUGAGGGUUGCUGGAGGUAUCAGAAGUGCGAAUGCUGACAUAAGUAACGAUAAAGCGGGUGAAAAGCCCGCUCGCCGGAAGACCAAGGGUUCCUGUCCAACGUUAAUCGGGGCAGGGUGAGUCGACCCCUAAGGC
rnacentral:rRNA from 1 species